UGGGGAAUAUUGCACAAUGGGCGCAAGCCUGAUGCAGCCAUGCCGCGUGUAUGAAGAAGGCCUUCGGGUUGUAAAGUACUUUCAGCGGGGAGGAAGGGAGUAAAGUUAAUACCUUUGCUCAUUGACGUUACCCGCAGAAGAAGCACCGGCUAACUCCGUGCCAGCAGCCGCGGUAAUACGGAGGGUGCAAGCGUUAAUCGGAAUUACUGGGCGUAAAGCGCACGCAGGCGGUUUGUUAAGUCAGAUGUGAAAUCCCCGGGCUCAACCUGGGAACUGCAUUCGAAACUGGCAGGCUAGAGUCUUGUAGAGGGGGGUAGAAUUCCAGGUGUAGCGGUGAAAUGCGUAGAGAUCUGGAGGAAUACCGGUGGCGAAGGCGGCCCCCUGGACAAAGACUGACGCUCGGGUGCGAAAGCGUGGGGAGCAAACAGG
rnacentral:rRNA from 1 species